GAUCAUUACCGAGUGAGGGCCCUCUGGGUCCAACCUCCCACCCGUGUCUAUCGUACCUUGUUGCUUCGGCGGGCCCGCCGUUUCGACGGCCGCCGGGGAGGCCCUGCGCCCCCGGGCCCGCGCCCGCCGAAGACCCCAACAUGAACGCUGUUCUGAAAGUAUGCAGUCUGAGUUGAUUAUCGUAAUCAGUUAAAACUUUCAACAACGGAUCUCUUGGUUCCGGCAUCGAUGAAGAACGCAGCGAAAUGCGAUAAGUAAUGUGAAUUGCAGAAUUCAGUGAAUCAUCGAGUCUUUGAACGCACAUUGCGCCCCCUGGUAUUCCGGGGGGCAUGCCUGUCCGAGCGUCAUUGCUGCCCUCAAGCACGGCUUGUGUGUUGGGCCCCCGUCCCCCUCUCCCGGGGGACGGGCCCGAAAGGCAGCGGCGGCACCGCGUCCGGUCCUCGAGCGUAUGGGGCUUUGUCACCUGCUCUGUAGGCCCGGCCGGCGCCAGCCGACACCCAACUUUAUUUUUCUAAGGUUGACCUCGGAUCAGGUAGGGAUACCCGCUGAACUUAAGCAUAUCAAUAA
rnacentral:misc_RNA from 1 species